GAUGAACGCUGGCGGUAUGCUUAACACAUGCAAGUCGAACGGUCACUUCGGUGAUGGUGGCGGACGGGGGAGUAACGCGUGAGAAUCUGUCUUCAGGUCGGGGACAACAGUUAGAAAUGACUGCUAAUACCGGAUGUGCCUUUGGGUGAAAGAUGUAUUGCCUGAAAAGGAGCUCGCGUCAGAUUAGCUAGUAGGUGGUGUAAGCGACUACCUAGGCUCCGAUCUGUAGCUGGUCUGAGAGGACGAUCAGCCACACUGGAACUGAGACACGGUCCAGACUUCUACGGGAGGCAGCAGUGGGGAAUUCUCCGCAAUGGGCGAAAGCCUGACGGAGCAAUACCGCGUGAGGGACUAAGGCUUUUGGGUCGUAAACCUCUUUUCUCAAGGAAGAUGAUGACGGUACUUGAGGAAUAAGCAUCGGCUAACUCUGUG
rnacentral:rRNA from 1 species